rnacentral:rRNA from 1 species
AUGAUGAGCUGCUGUUCAAGGGCUUUUCUCCGAUUAGUUCCAAGUUGUUGUCAUCUCAUUCUCCUCUUCAUCCGUCGAUUUCAUAACCCAUUGCAUGCUGAUAUUUACAUUUUACCAUUUGUUAAAUCAAAGCAAUAUCCUAUCUGUGUCACCAUCAACAAGCAAUUCAUUCUUGAACAAGCAAUUGAAACAAUUGGUGGCACAAUCCAUCCAUUCACUUUCACUGACAUUGGUAGCGACGAUGUGGGCAUCUCUGUCUCCAUUGACCUGCCUCCACACAGCAAAAGCUUGUCAAGCACAACAAAGGAAUUUCAUGGACCAUGCAUUGAAUCUAUGUGUGUUGCCGCCCUUGGAUAA